UCAUAUUUCAAUAUUGACUUUUUGCCAAUAUUAGAAUGGAAAUUAUAUGAAGGCAUGAAGGUGGAGAGUGGGACUACAAAGAUUUACAAACAUGAUGUUGAUGCCAUG